rnacentral:lncRNA from 1 species
GCAGAGAGCGUUGUCAUGGAAACGGAGCAACUACACGACACCUGACCGUCAACAGCACUUCUCUCAUGCGGCAGUUUUCACUAAUUUCAGGAGUGACAAAAUUACCCCUACAACAGAAGAAAAGAGCCAAGAUGAAGGGAGCUAAUCACAGAGCUGGAGGAAACACAGAUUUUGGAUCGUCCUCUACUCACUCUACCACUUUGUUUUUCCUUGCCAGAUUUCAUUCAAGAAGCCUGCUACAAGAGAGACAGCGGAAGGGAGCCUCAAAGACAUUUUUAUUAGGAUCUGCUAAUCAUGAGGGGGCAGACAAAAGAACCUGCAUUUUCCUUCAGCUUAAUAUCAGGGGUCGCCACAGCGUAAGGAACUGGAUAUUACUUUGGCAUAUGUUUUACACAGC